CUUCAUAUGCCUCCAGAACCCACAUGUAUCAGUCUUCAGUAGCUGCUCCUAUUUUUCCAUAUUCUUCUUUUCUUUUGCUUCUAAUACAAGCUUUUCAUCUAAUUGUCUUCAUGAAUCAAUAUAAGGUUCUCAAGUAAUGAUAGUCAGGAAGACAGUACUAAAAUUUUAAGUGUCAGUUAUAGGGGAGGGAAAAGUUCAUGGUAUAAGAUUAUAUUAAUUGUGAAAAUAGGUGAAGAACUUUGAUGCAUACUGAAUAAUCCUGAGAUAAAGGCCUGGACAUCAACAACUCUGAGGUGACAGGGUUUGCUCUGCUCCACGUUGCCUGCCAUGGCUGUCUCAUAACAGGACCAAAGAAAUGGAGCCAGCCGACCAUGAAUUCAGCCCUCCAAAAUGAGACAUCGAGAAAGCCUGUUGUGCCAUGAAGAUGCAGCUGGAGUACGAAUGUGAUGUGUCAUCAACAGAAAUGUCAUCUCCACUUUGGCAGAAGAUGCCACUUGGUUAACAUGUCCUCAAACAUGUUCUACAACCUUCAAGAUCAAGCUUUCAAUUGUUCAUGGAUUCACUCCAUCCUAGUAUGAAUAAUUAUUGUGAACAUUCCUUGACAUUUUCUAAGUCAUCAGGGUACACAAAUGACUGAUCUUGAAGUAGAUAUGGAUUUCAAAGGGUAAGUGUUAGCAAGUCUAUAAACAAGCUCUCAAUUUUCCUGUCAUGUAGAAUAGAUUAAACAAGAAAUAUGGUCACAAGACUAAGUCUGAUGGGAGAUUUCAGUUUCAUGUAUUCACUUUUCUCAAUUGAAUGUUUUUUUCCCUCACCAAGAAAUAUUAUUAAAACCAGUUGAACAUAAGACUGUUCUGGUUGAAGAAGAAUAUAAGGAAAACUUUUCAAGUGUCCCUUUUUUCCCAGCUGUAGAGACACAUUUUGAAUCCCAAGUUUUGCACAAUGAAGUCUGAAAAUAUUGACCUCUAACAUUUUCUCUUGUAAGUCUCUGUGUGUAUUACAGAUGAAUUUACAAAGAUUACCAGGAACAGAAAGGGUUUUGCUUGGAAAGAAUGAUCAGUUAUAAAUUGGAUAAAAGAAGAGAGAAAGAGGAAAUUUCUCCUCUAUUAUCUUCGGGCCCAGGAAAUGACACCAGAAGCUAUGGCUCUUUGACAAUCUGAAAUGAAGCAGCAGUCUCUACAUCUCUCUGAUCUUCCCUUCCCCAGUCUUUCAAUCCAUUGUUCUCAAGCACAGGAAAGGGCCUUCCCUAAAGGUCCUUCUCUAGAUAGGAUAAAACAAACUGGAACACAAUUGUUGUCAAACUUCUCACUGAAAUUUAUUUUAAUAACUAUGUAUAUUUUAUUAGUACAGAUUUGCAGCAAAUGUUAUAUUUGCCCUGUACAUAACACAUCAUAAAAAAUCCCAAAUGUUGGAGAGGUUGUGGGGAAAAAGGAAACCUUCUUCAUUAUUGGUAGGAAUGUACACUAGUAUAACCAUUAAGGAGUAGGGAGAUUCCUAAAACAACUAAAAGUAGAAAUUCUAUUUGACCCAACUAUUCCCCUUCUUGAAAGAAUUAAUCAUACUACAGUAAUACAUGUAUGCCUGUCUUUAUAGCAGUACAAUUUAUACAAUUUAAAAUAUCUAACCUUGGAAACAACCUAUAUGUUCACCAGCAGGUGAAUAGAUAAAAAAGUGAAGUUUAUGCACAGUGGAGUACUAUUCUGCCAUAAAGAAGGAUACACUUGAGGUAUUUUUGGUGUAUGGAUGCACCUUGAUCCUAUAAUGUUUAGUGAAAUAAAUCACACUCACAAGUUUAAGUAUCCCUUGGCUUCUUUUAUGUUAGAAACCCAAAAUAUAAAUGAAGAGCAAAAAUAAUGAUCGAUAAUAAGGAAGCAAAUGUUCCAUUUCAAGUGGAAAGGGAAACGAGAGAUGGAGGGAGGAGGGAAAGAAAGGGAAGGGAUUAAAAUAGAGACAGAAUCUUUUCACAUAAAUUUUAUUCACCAAAGAAGAUCAAACUCAUAUCACAAAAGAGAUUGAGAAUUAAAAAAUCUAUCUCCCAUACAGACAUUGUCAUAGGCUACUGUCCAUACUCCAGGUGCAUUCUGUCCUUAAAAAUCUUUUACUUCCCCUCCGAGUAGCCAAUAGCUACUCAAUAUAUGAUUGGAUCUUUUAUUUUGGUUUAGAGCAGAACAACUCAAAAAGCAAAAUCUUGGAAAUGACCCUUAUCACAUCACCAAAUGAAUGGAUUUUAAAAACUGGUAUUUAUAUAUAGUGGAGUACUAUUCUGCCAUGAAAAAGGAGUCAUUUGUGAGAAAAUGGAUGAAGCUUGAGACCAAAUGUUAAGUGAAAUAAAUCUGGCACACAAACUUAAAUAUUAUGUGAAUCCUCUUAUAUAUGACACCCCAAAGAUAAAUAAAUUAAAGAAUAAAAUAAAAGACAGAUACUAGCAAACAGAGAGAUCCAUCUUUUGGAAAAGAGAAAGAGACCAAGAGAAGAAGGGGAGGGGUUGGUUGAGUGGUGAAAAAAAAUAAUGAAGACAUGUAGGUACACGCAUUACAAAUAUAAUCAUUGCGUACUGCAAACAUGCUCUCAUAAUACAAAAUAGGGGGCAAAAUUAAAUUGCUAGUAGCACCCCAAUCAAAUCCUGUCUCCAUUAAAUAUGUAUUUAACCCUAAAUCCUCUGGCCCCACUCUGGGUUUCAGAUUUUGCUUACUUUCCCUGGACAUGUGCACAAUUAUCAAAUCGAAUGCCUUUUUUCCUGUUAACCUGUCUAAUGCCAUACAUACAUUGUUGCCAUAUUAACCUUCCCUUUUGCCAUAACUACACUAACUUGUGUCAGCACACUCAAUGUCCUAACUUUCAGAGAAAAAAAUUUAAACUUCCCUACAAGUAGAACCUCACUUGGGCUCCGUCUUUACUUUUCAAGUCCAUACUGUUUCCUUAGCCUGGAAUGCACUCUCCCUGUCCUUUAUACAUUGAAAAAUAUACAUGAACUCCUGGGAAUCUUAGAACACUCUGAUUCCAUUGUUAGGGAUACACCACAAAAAGCCUGUCUUUUUCACAGCCAUAUAUUUGUCUUGAACAGAUUUCUGACACAAAAUAACAACUAAGUAUUUCAUUUGAAUUAUUUACCUACAGUUUCUAUCCCGCUCUUCAGUCAAGCUAUAAUCCCAUAUCUAUCUUGUUUAAAAUUUUAUAAUUCUAUCACCAAAUACAGAUAUAGCAUAGAAUGCAAUUAAUGAUAGCCAAUAAAUGUAUAUUCAAUACAUUUAUCUUUAAUCCAAAGUACAGAAGAAAAUAGGCAAAUACUCAUGUUAAUUGUUUUAGGAGUGAUGAUAAAUAUUUAGCUGUACUUGAAAAUAGUGGUUUUUUAUCACAAUAAUUCACCGAUCAACUUUUUGCUUUAUGAUAAAUGUGUAGAUUUCUUUAAAAAGUAUUCUUGGUUUUGGAAAUAACUCUGAGAAUAUUCUUUCUCACCAACAACUUCUAUUAACUUAGCUAAUUAUAUUGUCAACCUAAUAAACCUAUAUUUUAAAA